AUGGUAGUUCAUAGCAUCCACCAGGAGGCGGUGGCACUCGGGGUCUUGCAUCAUCCUCGGGACACUCUGGAUGUGGUUCACCAGGUCAUGGGCAGAAAUGGUGCCGAAGCGGAUGUGAGUGAGCUUGAGGAACUGCUCCAUCUCAGAAAACUCAAUGAAGUUCUCCCUCAUGAACUUCUGAGAUGCCUCCUUGGUUUCUUUGAGGUUGUAGGCAUCAGCAAUAUUGGCCACAUACAUGCAAUUCUCCACACUGAGCUCCUGCAUGAGGAAAUCACUGCACAUCUUCACCAAAGUGCCAAUCUGCAGCAACAUGGCUGCAGCAAUAGUGCUGCCGAUGCUGUAGAGUGACAGGGUGAGCUUUCCUGAGUAUGCAUAUGUGAUGGCAGUAGCCAGGCCAACCGGUGAGAGGUCGUUCAGAAUCAGAAUCAGAAUCAGAAAUACUUUAUUGAUCCCAGGGGGAAAUUGCUUUCAUUCCAGGUGCUCCAUGUAUACUCAAAAAAGACAGGUUAGAAAUCUAAAUAAGGUAAAGUAGUAAGCGUAAAAUAAAAAUGAAACCUAAUAAAUUCUAAACAUUAAUAAACAUUCCAGUCAAAUCCUGGCAAGUGAAGACUGAAGUCAUAUAUAAAACUUGUACUGUGUGCAGUAAAAUCUCAUCUAAAUAAAUCCAAUAUGGAUAUGAUUACAAGACAGUGUGUUAGAUCUGAUCUCAGAGGGAGGAGUUGUACAGUUUGAUGGCCACGGGAAGGAAGGACCUCCUGUGGCGCUCAGUGGUGCAUUUAGGAGGGAUCAGUCUGGCAUUGAAAGUACUCCUGCACCUCAGCAGCACGUGGUGUAGAGCAGCGGUCCCCAACCUUUUUUGCACCACGGACCGGUAUCAUGUAAAACAACACUUUCACGGACUGGCACAGAAAAAAAAUAAAAUAAAAACAAAGUGCAUAAACAGACAACUUACUCCUAUGCUUAAUUAGUGGGAGCCUUUGAGCUUUCUCAGCAAUGAGGCAGUCCCAUCUGAGGAUAAUGGGAGACAAUCACACCUGAAGUGUGUUUCUUAUGUCCAGUCCACUCUGUAAUUUUGUUUUGGCCGUCAUUAAUUGCUUCUGUCCUUCUUGUUCAUGUUUUCUUCUUUAAAAAAACUCCAUGGCUUGUCUUUUAAUGCAGGGUGCUCGGUCUCGCAGUUUUGAAGGCUUCGUUGCCUCAUUUGCGAGUCUGUCGCCACACAUCACUCAGAGCGGACUUGGUGUGUGAGAAUCACCUGUUGCAAUAAAUCCGUAUUUUAAAUAGGACUCCUGAUAUAGUCUUUUAAAUGCAGGUUUCUUUUUCUUUGAAGGGGUAGGCUCCUCUUCUUCUGUCUCCUCGUUAGGCCUUUUCCCCUUUCCGAAGAAGCUCUCCAAAGACGUUUGUUUUUUAUUCAUUUGUGCUAGGUUGUGGGCUUAAUUUUGGGGCCGUAUCCCGUGACCGAGGCAAGCGUCUGGGCAGGUGCUUAAAGGCACAGGCGGAUGAAUCUGAUCGAUUUAUAAAAUGAAACAGCUUUCAGACUCAGGUAAUGAAUAAUAUAUGUUUUGCUCAGUCUUUCUGUGCGGCCCGGUACCAAAUGACCCACGGACCGGUACCGGUCCCCGGCCCGGUGGUUGGGGACCACUGGUGUAGAGGAUGGAAGCUGUUCUCCAGGAUCCCCUGCAGCUUAGACAGCAUCCUUCUGUCUGACACUGCUGUCAGGGAAUCCAGCUCCACCCCCACCACAUCACCGGCCCUUCUGAUCAGUUUAUUGAGUCUGUUUGUGUCCGCUGCUUUCAGUCUGCUGCCCCAGCACACAACAGCAAACAAAAUGGCACUGGCAACCACAGACUCAUAAAAAAUCCUCAGCAUAGUCCGACAGAUGUUAAAGGACCGGAGCCUCCUCAGAAAAUAGAGGCGGCUCUGGCCCUUCUUGUAGAGGGCUUCAGUAUUUUUAGUCCAGUCCAGUUUAUUGUCCAACACCACUCCCAGGUAUUUGUAAUCCUCCACAAUGUCCACACUCUGCCCACCGAUGGAAACUGGAGCCACGAGUGUCUUGGUCCUCCUCAGGUCCACAACCAGCUCCCUUGUCUUUGCAACAUUGAGCAGCAGAUGGUUCUGCUCGCACCAUGUAACAAAGCUGUCCACCACAGUCCUGUACUCAGACUCUCCACCUUUGCUGAUACAUCCCACUAUGGCAGAGUCAUCAGAAAACUUCUGAAGGUGACAUGACUCUGUCUGGUAGCUGUCAGAGGUGUAGAGCGUGAAGAGGAAGGGAGAGAGGACUGUCCCUUGUGGGGCCCCGUUGCUGCUGACCACUGUAUCAGACAAACACCGCUGCAUCCCCACAUACUGUGGUCUACCAGUUAGAUAAUUCACAAUCCAUGACACAAGGGGGGGCUCUACCUGCAUCGCUGUCAGUUUCUCACCCAGGAGAGCCGGCUUGAUAGUGUUAAAGGCACUGGAGAAGUCAAAAAACAUGACUCUCACAGUGCUCGCUGGCUUGUCCAGGUGGGUGUAGACACGGUUCAGCAGGUAGAUGAUGGUAUCCUCAACUCCCAGCUGGGGCUGGUAGGCGAACUGGAGAGGGUCCAGGUGAGGCCUAACAGUAGGCCGGAGCUGUUCCAGGAUGAGUCUCUCCAGGGUCUUCAUGAUGUGUGACGUCAGUGCCAACUGGUCGGUAGUCCGAAGAACCACUGGGCCGCGGUGUCUUCGGCACCGGCACAAUGCAGGACGUCUUCCACAGCACAGGGACCCUCUGGAGACUCAGGCUCAUGGUGAAGGCCCGGUGAAGCACUCCACAGAGCUGGUCAGCACAGUCUUUGAGGACCCGAGGGCUAACACCAUCCGGUCCAGCAGCCUUGCUGGUGGGGAGUUUGCUCAGCUGUCUUCUAACCUGGAGAGGUGUGAAGAGUGGAGGAGUGAGAGUGCGGAGGAGGGGAGUGCACAGAGAGAAGAGGGCCGUUAGAGGAGGUGAUUGGAGGUGGGGGUGGGGGGCCAUUGUAGGUGAUGGAGGCAUCAAGAGGGGGGAGGGAAGGGAGCAGUGCAGGUUCCAAAACAGGAGACUCAGCGUGGACCGGGACCGCAGUGUCAAAUCUGUUAAAGAACAGGUUUAAUUAAUUGGCCCUUUCCACACUACCAUCGACCCCUCUGGUAGCUGGUCUGAACCCUGUGAUGGUCCUCAUGCCACUCCAGACCUCCCUCAUGUUGUUCUGCUGGAGCUUCCACUCCAGCUUCCUCCUGUAGUUCUCUUUAGCCUCUCUGGUUUUCACCUUCAGGUCUCUCUGAAUGGCCCUCAGUUCCUUCCUGUUGCCACCUCUGAAAGCCCGCUUCUUCUCAUUGAGGAUAGCUUUGAUGUCCUUUGUUACCCAGGGCUUGUUGUUUGGGUAACAUUUAACGUUCAGGUCAAUCUUCUGGAGCACACCAUCAGAGGCAAUAUAAUCCACCCGCAGCCCCUCGUUGAUUUAAUCAUCAGUAAUUAAAUGAAAAUAAAUUUGAAUGUUAAGUAGUGCUUCAUAGCUAAGCAGCUAGCUCUAAUAUAGCUGGCUAGCUUGUGUCCAUUUCAAAUGACAGCAUAGAAUUUUGUACCCUUGAGAAAAGCAAUGCUACCUCUGGUCUGUAUGCUAAACUAGGAUAACUAGCUUCAUCUGUAGCAUUGUAUUCAAAGAUAAAACAUGUGUGUUUAUGACAUAUUUACAGAGGUGAGGAGGCUGGCUGAUAAGGUGGCCUGACUGGCGUAGACGUCGCUAGCCCUAUUUUAGGGGGCUUCAGCCUCCCUAAAAUAAUCCAAAGCCCCCCUAUAAUUUGCGGCAAUAUUUUAUUUAUUAUUAUUAUCUUGAUUAUUUCGGAGUUGACCACGUUGUAUACGAUAUGAGAGCAUAUGUCUUACAAAGUCGCUCAUACAUUAGGAAAGUAAUAGCUAGAGACGUUCUGUUUCUUUCCUCGAAAAGAGGACACUUCAGGCAUGUCUGUGUGAUGUAGACCGGCUGUAUUAUUCUACGGGCAAGUCAGUGCCCAAUCGGACCAUCGAGCGAUAUCACAAGGGGCUCAAAUAUCCAAUUGUAGAGCCUUGUGCCUCUGACGUGGUGUAUCAAAGAUGUCUUCUGAAGACAAGAGAAGUAUCUCUACUAACUAGCUGAGUCGUCUACACAUCUGAAAAGCGGCUCUGAACGCAAUAAUAGACGCGUAGCGGACUGUUAUCUCAGCCGGAAGGUGCAUUGUUCUGCAUACCCCUGUUAUACACUGUUAUUCACUGUUAUUUCUUACUGGAAACUUUUAUUUGACUUAUUAGCGGUGCUAUGUUUUGUUACGCUAACCCGGAAGUUACGUCGAAGACGUUCCGGAUGAACAGGGGAGCUCGCUCUCAGACGCUCACAGUAAACAGCGCUUCUUUCAUGUAGCGCAGCUUCAUUUUUCAACUUUUGAUACACAACUAUUGCAGGGACAAAAGAGACAUUUACAGCGCGACUAUUUCUGAAAGAAUAAGAAAAGUUGGUGAUUAGCCCCCCCCUAUCUGUCAACCCUAGUGACGUCCAUGCUAACUGGUAACAGCCAGGCAAGGGAAAGGCAAAGGGGGCGCAUACUGAGGAAUUUUGCUCAACACUGCGAGAGGUUAGUAGAGUAGAGCGGAAUCUACCACGCAGAGUACAGCAUGUAAUGACUUGGGUCAAAGGUUUCAGAUAAUGUUUACCUUGAACACUAUCCACAGUAUUCUGUUAACUGUACAGUGCAGCAAAGCAUUUAGUAUCAUCUUACCCUUGGGGCCCAGCCAUGACUCCAAGUAAGUGUUCAGUUUAUGGUUAAAGGUCUCCAUGUGUCACCUAAAAACAGAAUGCAGAAGGAUAUCAAUCGAAAUCGGGUGUAAUCGAAACUGCACUUUACGCUUUUAAAUGAAGGGAUGCGCGCAGAUGACGCCGGUUGUCAUGGCAUCAUUAAUAAUCCACUUCCAUAAAGGAAACUUCCAGACAGGGCUACAUGGAGACUUUAACGUAACACAACUUAUCGCAUCCUGUCCAUCGCGUGCUGCCAGCAGGAGCAGCAGCAUGGAGGUCACCGCUUCAGCAUCACCCGAACUACCCGCCUGCAGACGCCAUGCGCGCUGCAACACGCCGAUGAUACAAAGCCUUACCAUAAAGCCAGGCGUCCGUCCGCGCGGUGGAAACUGAAGGAAGGUGAAGAGAUGCAGCUGUGUGUGUGUGUGUAAGAGAGAGAGAGAGAGUGUGUGAGUGUGUGUGUGUGUGUGUGUGUCG
ensembl:lncRNA